CCCAUCUGACUAAAUAAACUAAGUCUUAGUCAAAGAGGUUUAUCCGUUGCUCUGUUCUUGCUGAUGGGCUUAAGUCUUCCUUCUAUCCUGUUAGCAUUGUAUGAAGAAGCCAUGUGCAUUCGACUUAAUUCAGUUCUGAGCACUGAAAAGGCCACAGCUCACUCUCACUGCGUACUUUGAUGUCUGCUCUCCUCUGUAAAACUGAUCUACACAGCACCACUUGGAUGCCUAUUGAUUUUUACUUGGUUGCUUUCAGCUCUGUGUUCAGCACUAAAUUAUCUUUGGCAAGCAUAUCCAUCAACAAGUUGUCUGGAUACGUGAUUUGUUUUCCCUUUGUCACCCUGGCUGAUAACUACCUAGUGUCUCCUUCAAACCUGGUCUUUUGGGCUCCAAAGGUUUUUUCCCUCAGCAGAACUAUUAUUUAUUAGUUUCUAUCUUUUCCCUUUCAACAGAAUCACUCUUGCUUUGAGAUGGAAGUUAUCAUAUCUGGAUUGAGAAAGACGCUUCAUGAAAGAUGCAAAGAUGGCUUGACUAAAUUAAACAGAUGCCUCUCAAUACAUGUCCUUGAUAAACAUAUUCUGAGAAUCCUCCAUCCAAUUGUAAGUGAUUACAUGGCUAAAAAUGCAGUCUGUAACAGAGAAAACAGAUGUGGCCAUAAUUAUUCCUGUGCCUUGCAUAUCAAACAUGAACUAUUGCAGCCUGAAAAAAGGGGGCUGAAAUCAAAACAAAGUGGGAUUUGCUACACCAGAUCAGACCAUCAGUUCACUUUGCCUGACACUAUCUUCAGAUAUGGACUGAGCCUGAUAAUCUAUAAGGAAAUCAGGAAUGCUUCUUUAUAACAUUGUAAUGAAUGUAUAAUGCUUCUUUGGUUCCCUAUCAGUUGUUUGCACAAUUCCUCCACAUCAGGCAUGAAACUCAGAGUGUCCUGAGUCUAAUUAUAAUUAUUUGAGUGUUUUAAAUCUACAACCUCAAUUUUCCAUAUGGGUUUACUACCCCUAAAAGCAGUAGCCAGCUGUACUCUGUCUUCAGUUAUAUGGGAAUCGAAAUGCUUUGAUAGGAAGUUUGAGGUUGGAUCACUGACAAUAACUUAUGCCUGUGGCUGUUGUGGAAAAUUCCAUGUGGAUGUGCAAUCUUAUCAUCUGACCUUCCAAGAUGCUGGUGAGAUUAGCACUAGCCAGAGUGACCAGGCUCUGUGCAAGAUCUCAGCCCAGGAUGGAAGGCUUCUUCCUUCAGUAAAAAUCACUGCAGCUGUUUCUGGUUGCUGUUGUUUUGCUGUCACAUAGCUGAAGGUGAUUCAAUUUGAAGACAUAAGUGUCCAAUAAGUAGUCUGCAAUGCGAAUUUAUCUCUUCUGCUAUUUUUUCUGAUUCUCUUUAAAAGGGUUCCAAUUUUCUUUUAAAAGUUCAGA